AUUGAACGCUGGCGGCAGGCCUAACACAUGCAAGUCGAACGGUAACAGAAAGCAGCUUGCUGCUUUGCUGACGAGUGGCGGACGGGUGAGUAAUGUCUGGGAAACUGCCUGAUGGAGGGGGAUAACUACUGGAAACGGUAGCUAAUACCGCAUAACGUCGCAAGACCAAAGAGGGGGACCUUCGGGCCUCUUGCCAUCGGAUGUGCCCAGAUGGGAUUAGCUAGUAGGUGGGGUAACGGCUCACCUAGGCGACGAUCCCUAGCUGGUCUGAGAGGAUGACCAGCCACACUGGAACUGAGACACGGUCCAGACUCCUACGGGAGGCAGCAGUGGGGAAUAUUGCACAAUGGGCGCAAGCCUGAUGCAGCCAUGCCGCGUGUAUGAAGAAGGCCUUCGGGUUGUAAAGUACUUUCAGCGAGGAGGAAGGUGUUGUGGUUAAUAACCACAGCAAUUGACGUUACUCGCAGAAGAAGCACCGGCUAACUCCGUGCCAGCAGCCGCCGUAA
rnacentral:rRNA from 1 species